rnacentral:rRNA from 1 species
AGGACGAACGCUGGCGGCGUGCUUAACACAUGCAAGUCGAGCGGAAAGGCCCUUCGGGGUACUCGAGCGGCGAACGGGUGAGUAACACGUGAGCAACCUGCCCUUAGCUUCGGGAUAGCUCCGGGAAACCGGAAUUAAUACCGAAUAUGACUUUGGCUGACAUCAGCAGAAGUGGAAAGUUUUUCGGCUAGGGAUGGACUCGCGGCCUAUCAGCUAGUUGGUGAGGUAACGGCCCACCAAGGCGACGACGGGUAGCCGGCCUGAGAGGGCGACCGGCCACACUGGGACUGAGACACGGCCCAGACUCCUACGGGAGGCAGCAGUGGGGAAUAUUGCGCAAUGGGCGAAAGCCUGACGCAGCGACGCCGCGUGGGGGAUGAAGGCCUUCGGGUUGUAAACCCCUUUCAGCAGGGACGAAGCGAAAGUGACGGUACCUGCAGAAGAAGCGCCGGCUAACUACGUGCCAGCAGCCGC